rnacentral:lncRNA from 1 species
CCUCCGGGCCACGAGGCCGCCCCCCUAUCCCUUCGGAGGCCGGCGAGGGGCGCCUCUGGCUUGGCGGACACGCACGCACGGCUUUUUCUGCGGGGGUGCGUGGGUGGGGUACCCCCGCUUGAUCUCCGAGGGUAUCUUUCCCCGGUAAUAGUGCUCCUCCGGCGGUGCAUCAGAGUAGAGGUUCACUUGCAGGCUUACCUUUGCUGAUUUACCACUUGUGCGGGGUUGGCUUCCCCCCCCCCUCUCUGAUUCGGGGCCUGCUCCCAGCUUUCUCCCUCAAGGACUGCAUGGCUACUCUUUCCAGGAAAUCUUGUUGGGGCUGCUCUCCAUGGGGAUUCCUCGGGCCAUGCUUUGCGAUUCCUCCUUCCACCCUUUUUAAAAGUUACCAUGCUGGACAAAAAAUAAUAAUAAUAACAGAGCAAGGGUCCAGAUAGAGCCCUCAAAGAUCGAUCGAUCGAUCUAUCUAUCUAUCUAUCUAUCUAUCUAUCUAUCUAUCUAUCUAUCUAUCUAUCUAUCUAUCUAUCUAUCUAUCUAUCUUUCUUUCUUUCUUUCUUUCUUUGAGGGCUCUAGACACACACACACACGCAUAUCCUUAGUACCCAUUAAAUAUUAGCCAAGGGUUCUUAACCCAAUACCCUAAAAUGUUACAAUAACUGUGUUGUCUCUUCUAUAAUUUCCCAACAAUUUCCCAUGCUUCUCUCUGGAACUCAUGCUUUUCUCCUGUUGGUGGAGAAAAUGGACUCACCAGUUUCAUCUUCUCAGCCUUCCAGGACAACGAGAAUGAAGUCAUGCUGGACCUUUUGGUGAAGGAAGAAGACACAGAUGAUGCCGGGGACGGGAGCUGUGCCGGACCAGCCACAGAUCCUGCAACACCCAGAACUUUGGAAGCCCAGCCAGCUUCUGACCCGGAGGCGGGCCACCCUGCCACGGCCGCCACCCUCCCACCGCCGGCCCGGCUCGCAUGGCUCCGAAGGAGGAAGACCAAAUCGGCCAAGGUGGAGUCCUUGCUUCUGCAGAUGCUCCACCAGGACGCAGAAGAAUCCCGGGAGACGCGGGAGGCGGUGGAGCGCGGCUGGGCCCGCCUGGAGGCCUGGGCCAGGGCCGAGCAGGAGAGCCGGGCCAGGGACGCCGAGCGGGAGCAGCAACACCGGCAGGAGGUCUUGAACUGCAUGCGGCAGACAAACGCCUUGAUCCGGAGCUUCAUGGGAGACACGUCGCUGCUCCUGCGUCGGAUUUUGGAGGCUCCCCGAAUGGAGGACGGAGGCAGGGAAGGGGCUGCGGAGGGGUCCGUGGAUGGCACGGGCAGAACGGCAGCAGGGAGCAGGCUGGCUGGCCACCGGCAGGCAAAGCGGAAGGCUGGCUCUGUCGACGACGAUGACGCUGCCACCAGCCAGAGCCCAGCGGGCUCCACAACCCCCUAG